ensembl:lncRNA
GUGAGUAUGCUGUUUUCCAAACCACUACUGUAGUAACAGCUAUAACAGCAAGGUACGACAGUAAAGACUUAUGAAGGGGGAGGAGAAUUGAUACGUACGUCACGUUUAGGCAAGAAAAAACUUCCGCAUAGGAUACACCUGUGUAUCCUCUAGGGGUGGAACGGUACACAGAAGUCACGGUUCGGUUCGUAACUCGGUUUAGACUUCACGGUUCGGUACGAUUUCCGUACAAUGGAAGGAAAAGCAAAACAAAAAUGCAGAAGAUCCAUAGACAUCCUAUUUAAAGGCUAGACGUCUCAUGGCGCACUCACUUCCGGCAUCACCGGUGGCCAUCUUAUCACAGGCAGGCUUCCUGUCGGGCUCUGUGGUACCUAAUAUAAGGUUCAGCCAGGACCACUUGGAGCUUCUCUUCAACUCCAUCAGAGUAUCUGCCAGUUCAAGUACAUCUUUAGGAUGUAAAGCUGAUGGCCCAGUGUGGGGUUGUUAAACCAUGCAGAGGCAAUGUGACGGCACAGGAUGACACAGAGUCCCUACCAGUUGUCAUCGACACCUCGACAAGCCUGUCAGCUGUAGAUGUGUCCUCUGCAGCAGGAGGAGAUCUUCCAUCCCCGUUUGCUGACAUUCCUGCCCUAGUACAUGAUCACAGCUACCUUCCCG